AUAAUGGAACGUUCCAUUGUGCUCACUUCAGCAGCACAUAUAUAGAGAUUAGUAUGGCCCCUGUGAAAGGAUGACUCUCAAAUUCUUGAAGCAGUCCAUAUUUUU
ensembl:snRNA U6 U6 spliceosomal RNA